CUCCUCAUUCUUUACCCUUUCAACUUCUUGGGGGCCUGUGAUCCACUCAGUAUGGUGCAAUUCCCCCCCAGUGAAGAGAAGAACAUAGCAUUUAUCCUUCCUUCCCUGUAACUCAGCGUAAUGUACUUUUAUUUUCUAGACUAUUCAAUUUUAUUAUAAAAGAAUAAGUUUCUGGUUUGUAAAAUACAGAAAAAGGAGAAGAGUACAGAACUUUCAUUCAGGGAUUAGAAGGAGCUCUGAAUACUGUGAUAACACGGAGUGAGUCCUGGAACUACUACAGCCAUUUGCUUCCAUGAGAGAAGACAGCAGGAGAAUAAACUUCACGAAGAAGGGCAUAGGCAAGGAAUCACGAAGAAAUCGAACUGGAUCCUUGAUCAAGAUAGAGAUACUUCAUAAACAUUACGAGGCAUAAUACAGCAGAGUACGGCUAGUGGUGUAAAGAGCAAAGAGUCAGAGUCAGAAAGACCUGAGCCAGCGUGUGGAAGCCACCACUUGCCAGAUGUUUCAUCUCAAACAAAUUAAAAGCUCUUGAACCUAUUCCCUCAUCUGCAAAAUGAGAACAGUACCUACCUUGAGGGUUGCUGUUGGAAUAAAUGAAGCAGUGUAUUUAAAGUACUGAGUACAUAGCAGAUGGAUAUUAGCUUCAGCAUGCCGCUUACGGUAAAACCAAAACGCAUCUAUUAUUCUCACUGCUGGUGCCAGAAACAAAAAUACACUGACACUCUGCGUUUCCUUCUACGUGUUAACUCCAUAC